CGGACGGGUGAGUAACGCGUGAGAAUCUGCCCUCAGGAGGGGGAUAACGGCUGGAAACGGCCGCUAAUACCCCAUAUGCCGAGAGGUGAAAUGAAUUUCGCCUGAGGAUGAGCUCGCGUCUGAUUAGCUAGUUGGUGUGGUAAAGGCUCACCAAGGCUUCGAUCAGUAGCUGGUCUGAGAGGAUGAUCAGCCACACUGGGACUGAGACACGGCCCAGACUCCUACGGGAGGCAGCAGUGGGGAAUUUUCCGCAAUGGGCGCAAGCCUGACGGAGCAACGCCGCGUGAGGGAUGAAGGCCUCUGGGCUGUAAACCUCUUUUAUCAAGGAAGAAGAUCUGACGGUACUUGAUGAAUAAGCCACGGCUAAUUCCGUGCCAGCAGCCGCGGUAAUACGGGAGUGGCAAGCGUUAUCCGGAAUUAUUGGGCGUAAAGCGUCCGCAGGCGGUUUUACAAGUCUGUCGUUAAAACGUGGAGCUCAACUCCACUUCGGCGAUGGAAACUGUAAGACUAGAGUGUGGUAGGGGCAGAGGGAAUUCCCGGUGUAGCGGUGAAGUGCGUAGAUAUCGGGAAGAACACCAGUGGCGAAGGCGCUCUGCUGGGCCAUAACUGACGCUCAUGGACGAAAGCCAGGGGAGCGAAAGGGAUUAGAUACCCCUGUAGUC
rnacentral:rRNA from 1 species